rnacentral:rRNA from 1 species
GUUAUCGUUUAUUUGAUAGUACCUUACUACUUGGAUAACCGUGGUAAUUCUAGAGCUAAUACAUGCUGAAAACCCCGACUUCGGAAGGGGUGUAUUUAUUAGAUAAAAAACCAAUGCCCUUCGGGGCUCCUUGGUGAUUCAUAAUAACUUCUCAGAUCGCAUGGCCUUGCGCCGGCGACGGUUCAUUCAAAUUUCUGCCCUAUCAACUUUCGAUGGUAAGGUAUUGGCUUACCAUGGUUUCAACGGGUAACGGGGAAUUAGGGUUCGAUUCCGGAGAGGGAGCCUGAGAAACGGCUACCACAUCCAAGGAAGGCAGCAGGCGCGCAAAUUACCCAAUCCCGACACGGGGAGGUAGUGACAAUAAAUACUGAUACAGGGCUCUUUUGGGUCUUGUAAUUGGAAUGAGUACAAUUUAAACCUCUUAACGAGGAACAAUUGGAGGGCAAGUCUGGUGCCAGCAGCCGCGGUAAUUCCAGCUCCAAUAGCGUAUAUUAAAGUUGUUGCAGUUAAAAAGCUCGUAGUUGAACCUUUGGCCUGGCUGGCAGGUCCGCCUCACCGCGUGCACUUGUCCGGCCGGGCCUUCUCUUCUGGAGAACCGCAUGCCCUUCACUGGGUGUGUUGGGGACCAGGACUUUUACUUUGAAAAAAUUAGAGUGUUCAAAGCAGGCCUUUGCUCGAAUACGUUAGCAUGGAAUAAUAGAAUAGGACGUGCGGUCCUAUUUUGUUGGUUUCUAGGACCGCCGUAAUGAUUAAUAGGGACAGUCGGGGGCAUCAGUAUUCAAUUGUCAGAGGUGAAAUUCUUGGAUUUAUUGAAGACUAACUACUGCGAAAGCAUUUGCCAAGGAUGUUUUCAUUAAUCAGUGAACGAAAGUUAGGGGAUCGAAGACGAUCAGAUACCGUCGUAGUCUUAACCAUAAACUAUGCCGACUAGGGAUCGGGCGGUGUUAUUAUUUUGACUCGCUCGGCACCUUACGAGAAAUCAAAGUGUUUGGGUCUGGG